GACGAACGCUGGCGGCGUGCUUAACACAUGCAAGUCGAACGAAGUGGCGAAAGGGGGAGUAAUACGUGGGUAACCUGCGCUCAUUUUGGGGGUAAGCCUUGGAAACGGGGACUAAUACCGACUAAAGGGGGAGGGGCUCGGGGCCUAUCAGGUUGUUGGUGGGGGGAGGGCCUACCCAGGCGGUGACGGGUAGCCGGGCUGAGAGGGUGAACGGGCACAUGGGGACGGAGAGACGGCCCAAGCGCGUACGGGAGGCAGCAGGGGGGGCUAUUGGUGCAUGGGCGAAAGACUGAUGCAGCGUCGCCGCGUGGGGGAUGAAGGCUUUAGGGUUGUAACCCUCUUUCGCUAUCGAACGGGUAGGUAUAGAAGAAGCGCCGGCUAACUCCGUGCCAGCAGCCGCGGUAAUAC
rnacentral:rRNA from 1 species